UUUAUGGAGAGUUUGAUCCUGGCUCAGGAUGAACGCUGGCGGCGUGCCUAAUACAUGCAAGUCGAGCGAACGGACGAGAAGCUUGCUUCUCUGAUGUUAGCGGCGGACGGGUGAGUAACACGUGGAUAACCUACCUAUAAGACUGGGAUAACUCCGGGAAACCGGAGCUAAUACCGGAUAAUAUUUUGAACCGCAUGGUUCAAAAGUGAAAGACGGUCUUGCUGUCACUUAUAGAUGGAUCCGCGCUGCAUUAGCUAGUUGGUAAGGUAACGGCUUACCAAGGCAACGAUGCAUAGCCGACCUGAGAGGGUGAUCGGCCACACUGGAACUGAGACACGGUCCAGACUCCUACGGGAGGCAGCAGUAGGGAAUCUUCCGCAAUGGGCGAAAGCCUGACGGAGCAACGCCGCGUGAGUGAUGAAGGUCUUCGGAUCGUAAAACUCUGUUAUUAGGGAAGAACAUAUGUGUAAGUAACUGUGCACAUCUUGACGGUACCUAAUCAGAAAGCCACGGCUAACUACGUGCCAGCAGCCGCGGUAAUACGUAGGUGGCAAGCGUUAUCCGGAAUUAUUGGGCGUAAAGCGCGCGUAGGCGGUUUUUUAAGUCUGAUGUGAAAGCCCACGGCUCAACCGUGGAGGGUCAUUGGAAACUGGAAAACUUGAGUGCAGAAGAGGAAAGUGGAAUUCCAUGUGUAGCGGUGAAAUGCGCAGAGAUAUGGAGGAACACCAGUGGCGAAGGCGACUUUCUGGUCUGUAACUGACGCUGAUGUGCGAAAGCGUGGGGAUCAAACAGGAUUAGAUACCCUGGUAGUCCACGCCGUAAACGAUGAGUGCUAAGUGUUAGGGGGUUUCCGCCCUUAGUGCUGCAGCUAACGCAUUAAGCACUCCGCCUGGGGAGUACGACCGCAAGGUUGAAACUCAAAGGAAUUGACGGGGACCCGCACAAGCGGUGGAGCAUGUGGUUUAAUUCGAAGCAACGCGAAGAACCUUACCAAAUCUUGACAUCCUUUGACAACUCUAGAGAUAGAGCUUUCCCCUUCGGGGACAAAGUGACAGGUGGUGCAUGGUUGUCGUCAGCUCGUGUCGUGAGAUGUUGGGUUAAGUCCCGCAACGAGCGCAACCCUUAAGCUUAGUUGCCAUCAUUAAGUUGGGCACUCUAAGUUGACUGCCGGUGACAAACCGGAGGAAGGUGGGGAUGACGUCAAAUCAUCAUGCCCCUUAUGAUUUGGGCUACACACGUGCUACAAUGGACAAUACAAAGGGCAGCGAAACCGCGAGGUCAAGCAAAUCCCAUAAAGUUGUUCUCAGUUCGGAUUGUAGUCUGCAACUCGACUACAUGAAGCUGGAAUCGCUAGUAAUCGUAGAUCAGCAUGCUACGGUGAAUACGUUCCCGGGUCUUGUACACACCGCCCGUCACACCACGAGAGUUUGUAACACCCGAAGCCGGUGGAGUAACCUUUUAGGAGCUAGCCGUCGAAGGUGGGACAAAUGAUUGGGGUGAAGUCGUAACAAGGUAGCCGUAUCGGAAGGUGCGGCUGGAUCACCUCCUUUCU
rnacentral:rRNA from 1 species